rnacentral:rRNA from 1 species
CAGCAGCCACGGGAAUACGAAGGGUGCAAGCGUUACUCGGAAUUACUGGGCGUAAAGCGUGCGUAGGUGGUGGUUUAAGUCCGUUGUGAAAGCCCUGGGCUCAACCUGGGAAUUGCAGUGGAUACUGGGUCACUAGAGUGUGGUAGAGGAUAGUGGAAUUUCCGGUGUAGCAGUGAAAUGCGUAGAGAUCGGAAGGAACAUCUGUGGCGAAGGCGACUAUCUGGGCCAACACUGACACUGAGGCACGAAAGCGUGGGGAGCAAACAGGAUUAGAGACCCCGGUAGUCCCUGUCUCUUAUAC